AAGAGUAUCGUUAGAAAGUAAAAGAAAUGUCUAAAAUUCGGGGUUUCUAAAGGGAAUGUUGUGUUUUUUUAUUUGGAAAAAUUUCCUUUUUCACCAAGUUCAAGACGCACGAGGAAAAUUGCUCUCGGGUUUCCAUGUAAGUCAGUAAAGCGGUGUAAGAACUUUUACGACUCCGUUCAGCUAUGAAACAGACAGAGUGGUUGGGAAAGGAAAAAACCGAAAAUACAAGUGGAAAAGAGCAUUUUGCAGCGACCUGUUUACUUUUUAUGAUGAACCGGAGGAUUGCUCACAUCAGUG